CCUACGGGAGGCAGCAGUGGGGGAUAUUGCACAAUGGGGGAAACCCUGAUGCAGCGACGCCGCGUGGGUGAAGAAGCGCCUCGGCGCGUAAAGCCCUGUCAGCAGGGAAGAAAAUGACGGUACCUGACGAAGAAGCCCCGUCUAACUACGUGCCAGGAGCCGCGGUAAUACGUAGGGGGCAAGCGUUAUCCGGAUUUACUGGGCGUAAAGGGGGCGCAGACGGCGAUGCAAGCCAGGAGUGAAAGCCCGGGGCCCAACCCCGGGACUGCUCUUGGAACUGCGUGGCUAGAGUGCAGGAGGGGCAGGCGGAAUGCCUGGUGUAGCGGUGAAAUGCGGAGAUAUCAGGAGGAACACCGGUGGAGAAGGCAGCCUGCUGGACUGCAACUGACGUUGAGGCCCGAAAGCGUGGGGAGCAAACAGGAUUAGAUACCCGUGUAGUC
rnacentral:rRNA from 1 species